AGAGUUUGAUCCUGGCUCAGAAUGAACGCUGGCGGCGUGCUUAACACAUGCAAGUCGAACGGUAACAGGACUAGCUUGCUAGUUGCUGACGAGUGGCGCACGGGUGAGUAAUAGAUAGAUAAUGUGCCCCUUAGUCUGGGAUAGCCACUGGAAACGGUGAUUAAUACUAGAUACGCCUUUUUGCCUUAUGGCAAUUUGGGAAAGGUUUUUCGCUAAGGGAUCAGUCUAUCUCCUAUCAGUUAGUUGGUGAGGUAAGAGCUCACCAAGGCAAUGACGGGUAUCGGGUUUGAGAGGAUGAUCCGCCACACUGGAACUGAGACACGGUCCAGACUCCUACGGGAGGCAGCAGUGAGGAAUAUUGCACAAUGGGGGAAACCCUGAUGCAGCAACGCCGCGUGGAGGAUGACGCAUUUCGGUGUGUAAACUCCUUUUAUAAGAGAAGAACAUGACGGUAUCUUAUGAAUAAGCUCCGGCUAACUCCGUGCCAGCAGCCGCGGUAAUACGGAGGGAGCAAGCGUUAUUCGGAAUCACUGGGCGUAAAGGACGCGUAGGCGGGUUGUCAAGUCUGAUGUGAAAUCCUAUGGCUCAACCAUAGAACUGCAUUGGAAACUGGCAACCUAGAGUAUGGAAGGGGCAGAUGGAAUUAGUGGUGUAGGGGUAAAAUCCGUAGAUAUCACUAGGAAUACCGAAAGCGAAGGCGAUCUGCUGGGACAUUACUGACGCUGAGACGCGAAAGCGUGGGGAGCAAACAGGAUUAGGUACCCUGGUAGUCCACGCCGUAAACGAUGAGAACUAGGUGCAGCGGAUAUUGACCUCUGCUGUGCCGUAGCUAACGCGUUAAGUUCUCCGCCUGGGGAGUACGGCCGCAAGGCUAAAACUCAAAGGAAUUGACGGGGGCCCGCACAAGCAGUGGAGCAUGUGGUUUAAUUCGAAGCAACGCGCAGAACCUUACCAGGGCUAGAAAAACUAAGAAUCCUGACGAAACUCGGGAGUGCUCGCAAGAGAACUUAGGUCCAGGUGCUGCAUGGCUGUCGUCAGCUCGUGUCGUGAGAUGUUGGGUUAAGUCCCGCAACGAGCGCAACCCUUGUCCUUAGUUGCCAUCAUUUAGUUGGGCUCUCUAAGGAGACUGCCGGGGUCAACCCGGAGGAAGGUGGGGAUGACGUCAAGUCCUCAUGGCCCUUAUGUCCUGGGCUACACACGUGCUACAAUGGUUGAUACAAAGCGCUGCGAAGCCGCAAGGUGGAGCGAAUCGCAAAAAGUCAGCCUCAGUACGGAUUGCACUCUGCAACUCGAGUGCAUGAAGUCGGAAUUGCUAGUAAUCGUCGAUCAGCAGGCGACGGUGAAUACGUUCCCGGGCCUUGUACAU
rnacentral:rRNA from 1 species